rnacentral:rRNA from 1 species
AUUGAACGCUGGCGGCAUGCUUUACACAUGCAAGUCGAACGGCAGCGCGGGCUUCGGCCUGGCGGCGAGUGGCGAACGGGUGAGUAAUGCAUCGGAACGUGCCCAGUAGUGGGGGAUAGCCCGGCGAAAGCCGGAUUAAUACCGCAUACGACCUGAGGGUGAAAGCGGGGGACCGAAAGGCCUCGCGCUAUUGGAGCGGCCGAUGUCGGAUUAGCUAGUUGGUGGGGUAAAGGCUUACCAAGGCGACGAUCCGUAGCUGGUCUGAGAGGACGACCAGCCACACUGGGACUGAGACACGGCCCAGACUCCUACGGGAGGCAGCAGUGGGGAAUUUUGGACAAUGGGGGCAAGCCUGACCCAGCCAUGCCGCGUGAGGGAUGAAGGCCUUCGGGUUGUAAACCGCUUUUGUUCGGGAAGAAAUCCUGUGGGCUAAUACACCGGGGGGAUGACGGUACCGGAAGAAUAAGCACCGGCUAACUACGUG